rnacentral:rRNA from 1 species
GACGAACGCUGGCGGCGUGCUUAACACAUGCAAGUCGAACGGUAAGGCCCUUCGGGGUACACGAGUGGCGAACGGGUGAGUAACACGUGGGUGAUCUGCCCUGCACUUCGGGAUAAGCCUGGGAAACUGGGUCUAAUACCGGAUAGGACCACUGCCUGCAUGGGUGGUGGUGGAAAGCUUUUGCGGUGUGGGAUGGGCCCGCGGCCUAUCAGCUUGUUGGUGGGGUGAUGGCCUACCAAGGCGACGACGGGUAGCCGGCCUGAGAGGGUGACCGGCCACACGGGGACUUAGAUACAGGCCAGACUCCUACGGGAGGCAGCAGUGGGGAAUAUUUCACAAUGGGCGCAAGCCUGAUGCAGCGACGCCGCGUGAGGGAUGACGGCCUUCGGGUUGUAAACCUCUUUCAGCACCGACGAAGCGCAAGUGACGGUAGGUGCAGAAGAAGGACCGGCCAACUACGUGCCAGCAGCCGCGGUAAAAC